rnacentral:rRNA from 1 species
AUUGAACGCUGGCGGCAUGCUUUACACAUGCAAGUCGAACGGCAGCGCGGGCUUCGGCCUGGCGGCGAGUGGCGAACGGGUGAGUAAUGCAUCGGAACGUGCCCAGCAGUGGGGGAUAGCCCGGCGAAAGCCGGAUUAAUACCGCAUACGACCUGAGGGUGAAAGCGGGGGACCGAAAGGCCUUGCGCUAUUGGAGCGGCCGAUGUCGGAUUAGCUAGUUGGUGGGGUAAAGGCUUACCAAGGCGACGAUCCGUAGCUGGUCUGAGAGGACGACCAGCCACACUGGGACUGAGACACGGCCCAGACUCCUACGGGAGGCAGCAGUGGGGAAUUUUGGACAAUGGGGGCAACCCUGAUCCAGCCAUGCCGCGUGCGGGAAGAAGGCCUUCGGGUUGUAAACCGCUUUUGUUCGGGAAGAAAUCCUCUGGGCUAAUACCCCGGGGGGAUGACGGUACCGGAAGAAUAAGCACCGGCUAACUACGUG